AUAAAAUAAAAUUAUAUAAAUAUAUAUAUAUAUAUAUACGAAUAUAUUUUUAUAUUUUUUGGUAGAACGAAAAAUACAGUAAUUUAUUUAUCGUGAUAUGCAAAACGCAAUAUUACUUACAAAAAUAAACAAAAUAUUUUUUAACGUAUUUUCUCACUACACGUAAUGUAAUCUCUUCAUAAUUUCAAACGAAUUCUAAAUUUUUGCUUAUCUCACAUUUCUCAGUAUUUAGAAUGGUUAGAGAACAUUUUCU
rnacentral:lncRNA from 1 species